AAGAACUAGAUAAAAGAAGAAAACAACUAUCCAAACAGAGAGCAGCAGAGAGUGAAAUGUAGAAAAUAAUAGAAUAAACUUCUUGUUGUUUAUUCAAAUUUGCUUACUUCUUAAUUCUUAAUGUACAGUAUAUAUAGACUUUCUGAAUUGAGUAACAACCUCACUAACUGACUAACUACUUCUAUUCUCUAAUAUUCAUCCAUCUUCUCUACAGGCAAGACCCGUAGAAAACUCCGAAAACGAGUAAAACUCGACGACGAAAGUGGCUUAGUGAGAACAUCAGCGACCUGAUCACACGCUGGAACUUCUCCAACAGCAACCGUGCCAUCAGCAACCUUUUCACGAACAAAAAAUAAAUCUAACUCAACAUGCUUAAACUUUGAAUGAAGAACAGGAUUUGCAGCAACUGCAACCGCUCCAGAACUGUCACACCAAAUUUGAGGAACACUAUUAGACUGAACAUGUAAUUCUUUAAGUAGCGACAAAAGCCACGUAACCUCACUAGUAACUGCAGCAAGACUUCGGUAUUCUGCCUCAGCAGUAGACCGAGCAACAACCUGUUGUUUCUUCGUACACCAUGACACAGGUGUAUGUCCGAAAUAAACACAGUAUCCAGUAGUAGACCUCCGGUCAUCAAAAUCUAAUCCCCAGUUUGCAUCAGCAUAUCCAACUAAGGACAAACUAGUGGAUGGACGAAACACAAUUCCAAAAUCAAUCGUACCACCUAAAUACCUCAAAAUGCGCUUCAGAGCGGUCAUAUGAACGGAAGUAGGACAAUGCAUAAAUUGACAUAUUCGAUUAACAGCAUAGGCAACAUCAGGCCGCGUAAGAGUGACAUACUGUAAUGCUCCUGCAAGACUCCUGUAUUCAGUCGGAUCCUGUAACCGCUCACCACCAUCGCGAGUCAUCACAGAGGAACUAACCAUCGGUGUAUGAACACUCUUCGCAUUCUCCAUCGAACAACGUAUAAGAAUAUCACGUAUAUACUUCUUCUGACAAAGAUGAAGGCAACCUGACGAAGAAUGAUUAACCUCUAUCCCAAGAAAAUAAUGAAGAUCACCCAUGUUCUUAAGCGAGAACUCACUAUUCAGCAAAUUAACAAACCACUCUAUAACAGAAGGCAUAUCUCCAGUAAUAAUAAUAUCAUCAACGUACACAAGCACAUACAAUAUUGAAGCUGGUACAACUCGAACAAACAAGGAAGCAUCAGACUUUGAAACUACAAACCCCACAGAGACUAGAAAUCCUUUUAGCCUUUCAAACCAGGCACGAGGAGCCUGACGAAGACCAUACAACGCUUUCUUCAAGCGACACACCAAAGGUCUACCAUCUGAGCCAUAUUGAACAUAACCGGGAGAUUGAUGCAUAAAAACUUCAGUGUCAAGGUCACCAUUUAGAAACGCAUUAUUCACAUCCACUUGCCGAAGUGACCACCCCCUAGACACAGCAAUAGACAAAAUAACUCUAAUAGUAGCUGGAUUGACCACUGGACUAAACGUUUCCUUAAAAUCACAACCCGGAACUUGAGAGCAACCUUUUGCAACUAAGCGAGCCUUAUAUCGAGCAAUAGUGCCAUCAAAAUUCUUCUUGAUUCGAAACAGCCAUUUGCACCCAAUGACCUUUCGAUUAUAUGGAGCAGGAACGAGCUCCCAUGUGGAAUUACGCAUAAGAGCAUUAUACUCAUCUUGCGCAGCAGUGCGCCACUCAACAGUAGCCAGAGCUUCUUCAAUUGUAGUCGGUUCAACAGCUUCAACACUUAAAACCUUAGGCUUGUAAACCCCUGCUUUAGCGCGAGUGACCAUUGGGUGAGUAUUGCCCAUAGCUGUCCUACUAAUCUGACUAUCAAAUGCCGACGAAACACCUGCAGACAGUCCCAUAUUAGACGAAGAGAGAGCAUUGGUAUCACCUGAGGAUCCCGAGCCAUGCUCUGCUGGAAGAUCACUCAACUCAGUUCCAUCAUUAGCUGAAUAAUCAUGAGCUGGAAAACUACCCGACCCAGUCCUAACAUCAGUUGAAGGAUCAUGAGACUGGGGCUGCUCCACACUAACAUCUAAUACAGGAUCAGUAGGCUGAGACAACACCCCUUGUACCGACGGUGCCAUCAUGCAUGGCUCAAGAGUCGAGGAUGAAGAUGGCCACACAAGAGGAACAACUGUCGAACUAGUCUGACCGGUUGUUGAUACAAACUUGUCUGAACUAGUCUCAGUAAACAAAAGCCUCUGCUCAUCAAAGACCACAUGCCUUAAAAUUAUAACCUUACCAUCUGGUAAAAGACAUUGAUACCCCUUGUGACGAGGACUGUAGCCCAAAAAAGUCGACGGCUGAGACCGAAAUUCCAAAUUAUGACCCACAAACGGACGUAAGUAAGGAUAACAACAGCAACCAAACACUCGAAGAUGAUCAUAGGUCGGAUCGCUUCCAUACAGUUCCUUAAACGGAGAACUAUCCUGAAGUACAACCGUGGGAAGUCGAUUUAUAAGAUGAACCGCACAACAAAACGCAUACCCCCAGUAUUCCAUAGGCAAAUUUGCAUGAGCCAACAACGUAAUCCCCAUUUCAACAAUGUGACGAUGUUUUCGCUCAGCUACUCCAUUUUUUUCUGAAGUAUACGGACAGGUCAGUCGAUGAAUGAUCCCCUGAGAUUCUAAGACGGACGUAAAACCACGAUAUUCACCUCCCUAAUCGCUCUGAAACUGCUUAAUAGACUUGCCAAACUGUGUCUUAAUCAACUGCUGAAACUGAGUAAAACAUUCAAGUGCUUGAGCUUUUUGACGUAAAAGAUAAACCCAAGUAAAUCUGGUACACAUAUCAAUAAACGAAACAUAAUAUCUCUUAUCACCACAUGCAACAGGUGCAGGAACCCAAAGAUCAGACACAACCAAUUCAAAAGGACGACAGCUAGUAGUCGAAGGGGAGAAAGGCAACUUAUGUGACCUGCCUUUUUGACACGCAGUACAUAUACCAUCCAGACCAAUUUUAUUUGAAACAACAUUACAUUUAUUUAGAAUAUUUUUGACCACAGAAGUCGACGGGUGGCCUAAAUGAUUAUGCCAUAAAGCAAAUACAGAAGUAGUUGAAACUGUAUGUGGAACUUGAGAAUGAGCAACAAAUGGAGCAUUCGUAGGCAACGUAGAAACCGCUGGGAUAGAAAACUAAUAUAGACCAUCAUGAAUGCGGCCCAUCAGCAAUAUCUCCCGAGUCACCGUAUCCUUAAUAACACAAUAGGUAGGGUGAAACUCAAAAAACACAUCAUUAUCACGAGCAAACUGUGAGACAGAUAAGAGGUUUUUCCGUAUACUUGGCACACAUAAAACAUUUGAUAACCGUAACGAUUUAUCUUGAGUAGGUAAAAUAGCCGUACCAAUUGACGAAAUUACCGCAGGAGUACCAUCACCCAUUAAAAGAGAUGACUUACCUGAAUAUGGUGUGACAUUACGUAAAGCUGACACAUCGCGACAGACAUGAUGACUCGCUCCCGAGUUAGGAUACCAAGAUGUGGUGCCACCGCACACUGGAAUGUACGAAUCAUCAUUACCACUACUAGAUCCAAGCUGAGCCGUAUUAAUAUGAGAAUCUGAUACUGAAGGAUCAGAAUAAUCAGACGCAUGUAAAUCCCCUAGCCGUGGAAGCCCAAUACAUGGGUUAGAUCCGGUAUAGACCCGAGCACGCGGUUUGGUAAAUUUCAGAACCGGACCACCAACACCUAGUCCAUCACCAAUCGGUUCAGGCGAGCCGGGAUCAUCUUGAUCAAGUUGAACAAAAUUAAAGGAUGGUACAAUAUUCGGCCCAGCAUUAAACUGAACAUUCGGCCCAUGAGAAGAAUGUUGAACAUUCGGCCCAUCAUUAAAUUGAACAUUUAGUCCAUGGGUUUUGUUUCCACUAGAACCUCGCCACUGUCCAUUUCCAGUAGUAAACCCGUGUAAAGUGUCUCCAUUAUACCCUUGCCUAGUAUCAUGACCGAAUUUAGACAAAUUGGGUUUGUAGGCAUCAUUUUGUGCAUUGGACACAUGUGGCCCAUGUGCUAAUGGCCUAUUUUGCAUGCCAGCACACACAUUUUGACUAACAUAUCUAUUUUGACCAGCAUGACUCCCUUGACCAUAAAAAAUUCUUUGACUCUUCUGAUGAGGAACAACCAUCUGUUCAUCACCAUUUUGCACAAAAAUUCCAGAAUCAAAACCUUCAACACCAGACGUUUUAUUUGAGUCUCGGUGAUACUGAUAAUAGCAUUUUUGAGCCACAUGACCAAACCGACUGCAGAUUUGGCAUUGAACACGAGAUCUGAUGAACCGACCACGACCACGAACAGACGCACGACCUCCAUGACCGGCCCCUUCCACCGAUGGCUCAUUUUCAACAAGAUUCACGUUCAAACUGACCUCCUGCAACACUCGAUCUUGACGACUCUCACAAUCAACUAACGCAUCCACCAGACGUUGCAACGGCAGAACUACAGGCGACAAACGAGCAGAGGAGAUAACCGCCUCAAACUCCGACGGCAAACCCGCAAGCACCACUUCAAUCUUCUCUUUAUCGGAGAUACGAGAGCCAGAAGCAUCUAACAUAGCACACAAAUCUUUAAUCCGAGCAACAUAUGCCUUAAUCGAAAGAUUACCUUUCUUCAACGAGUGUAGUUCAUGCCGAAUCCUCGACUGCUUGGCACCCGUAUCAGCUGCAAAAAUAUUACCGGCCAUGCUUCAUAUGUCGCACGCCGUGCAAGCAUCAUCAAAGGAGGAUUGAUGAGAGGAAGUUACAGUAGACAAAAGCCAGGACAUCAGCAGUUGAUCUUGCUGCGUAAAGACCUGAGCCGCCGGAUUUGGAGCACGAGAUCCAUCGGGUAGAACGAUGAAUCGCGAUGGCGGAGCAACAGUGCCAUCUAAAAAACUUGCGAGUCCAUAGCCAUUAACAAUCAAUUUUACCUGUUUACGCCUUUGAAGGUAAGUACCUUCAUCGAGUUUGACCACUUCAUGUCGAGGAAGAACUGUUGUGACUCGAUCGGCAGCAAAUACACCGGAGCUAGGUUCACCAGACGCUGAAUCAGCAGAAGCCAUGAGAAGCAAUGACCAGAAUCAAUUGGCGAAUGAUACCAUGAAAGAACUAGAUAAAAGAAGAAAACAACUAUCCAAACAGAGAGAAGCAGAGAGUGAAAUGUAGAAAAUAAUAGAAUAAACUUCUUGUUGUUUAUUCAAAUUUGCUUACUUCUUAAUUCUUAAUGUACAGUAUAUAUAGGCUUUCUGAAUUGAGUAGCAACUUCACUAACUGACUAACUACUUCUAUUCUCUAAUACAGGGAUAGGACCAGGCGAAACAUUGAUGUCCUUUUUGUGUUUCCGGUUAUCCAUUUCCUGCAAAAUUUCAAAACCCCCAAAAUAAAAACACUAUGAUAAGCCUUUUAUUUGCACUGUGCAUGUAAACGAUGUAACCAAAGGGGAUUAUAUAGGAGUCUUAAAUCGAUUUAAGCACAUGCACUCAGAUUUAUGCAACUCCAC
rnacentral:lncRNA from 1 species